GAGAGGACCAGAGAGGACUGUGUUAGGUAGAGACUGGAGGAGAGGACCAGAGAGGACUGUGUUAGGUAGAGACUGGAGGAGAGGACCAGAGAGGACUGUGUUAGGUAGAGACUGGAGGAGAGGACCAGAGAGGACUGUGUUAGGUAGAGACUGGAGGAGAGGACCAGAGAGGACUGUGUUAGGUAGAGACUGGAGGAGAGGACCAGAGAGGACUGUGUUAGGUAGAGACUGGAGGAGAGGACCAGAGAGGACUGUGUUAGUUAGAGACUGGAGGAGAGGACCAGAGAGGACUGUGUUAGGUAGAGACUGGAGGAGAGGACCCGAGAGGAGAGUGUUAGGUAGAGACUGGAGGAGAGGACCAGAGAGGACUGUGUUAGGUAGAGACUGGAGGAGAGGACCAGAGAGGACUGUGUUAGUUAGAGACUGGAGGAGAGGACCAGAGAGGAGUGUGUUAGUUAGAGACUGGAGGAGAGGACCAGAGAGGACUGUGUUAGGUAGAGACUGGAGGAGAGGACCAGAGAGGAGUGUGUUAGGUAGAGACUGGAGGAGAGGACCAGAGAGGAGUGUGUUAGUUAGAGACUGGAGGAGAGGACCAGAGAGGAGUGUGUUAGUUAGAGACUAGAUGAGAGGACCAGAGAGGACUGUGUUAGUUAGAGACUGGAGCAGAGGACCAGAGAGGAGUGUGUUAGUUAGAGACUGGAGGAGAGGACCAGAGAGGAGUGUGUUAGGUAGAGACUGGAGGAGAGGACCAGAGAGGACUGUGUUAGUUAGAGACUAGAUGAGAGGACCAGAGAGGACUGUGUUAGGUAGAGACUGGAGGAUAGGACCAGAGAGGAGUGUGUUAGGUAGAGACUGGAGGAGAGGACCAGAGAGGAGUGUGUUAGGUAGAGACUAGAGGAGAGGACCAGAGAGGAGUGUGUUAGGUAGAGACUAGAGGAGAGGACCAGAGAGGAGUGUGUUAGGUAGAGACUGGAGGAGAGGACCAGAGAGGAGUGUGUUAGGUAGAGACUGGAGGAGAGGACCAGAGAGGAGUGUGUUAGGUAGAGACUGGAGGAGAGGACCAGAGAGGACUGGUGUUAGGUAGAGACUGGAGGAGAGGACCAGAGAGGAGUGUGUUAGGUAGAGACUGGAGGAGAGGACCAGAGAGGAGUGUGUUAGGUAGAGACUGGAGGAGAGGACCAGAGAGGACUGUGUUAGGUAGAGACUGGAGGAGAGGACCAGAGAGGACUGUGUUAGGUAGAGACUGGAGGAGAGGACCAGAGAGGACUGUGUUAGGUAGAGACUGGAGGAGAGGACCAGAGAGGACUGUGUUAGGUAGAGACUGGAGGAGAGGACCAGAGAGGACUGUGUUAGGUAGAGACUGGAGGAGAGGACCAGAGAGGACUGUGUUAGGUAGAGACUGGAGGAGAGGACCAGAGAGGACUGUGUUAGGUAGAGACUGGAGGAGAGGACCAGAGAGGACUGUGUUAGGUAGAGACUGGAGGAGAGGACCAGAGAGGACUGUGUUAGGUAGAGACUGGAGGAGAGGACCAGAGAGGACUGUGUUAGGUAGAGACUAGAGGAGAGGACCAGAGAGGACUGUGUUAGGUAGAGACUGGAGGAGAGGACCAGAGAGGACUGUGUUAGGUAGAGACUGGAGGAGAGGACCAGAGAGGACUGUGUUAGGUAGAGACUGGAGGAGAGGACCAGAGAGGAGUGUGUUAGGUAGAGACUGGAGGAGAGGACCAGAGAGGAGUGUGUUAGGUAGAGACUGGAGGAGAGGACCAGAGAGGACUGUGUUAGGUAGAGACUGGAGGAGAGGACCAGAGAGGAGUGUGUUAGGUAGAGACUGGAGGAGAGGACCAGAGAGGACUGUGUUAGGUAGAGACUGGAGGAGAGGACCAGAGAGGAGUGUGUUAGGUAGAGACUGGAGGAGAGGACCAGAGAGGAGUGUGUUAGGUAGAGACUGGAGGAGAGGACCAGAGAGGAGUGUGUUAGGUAGAGACUGGAGGAGAGGACCAGAGAGGACUGUGUUAGGUAGAGACUGGAGGAGAGGACCAGAGAGGACUGUGUUAGGUAGAGACUGGAGGAGAGGACCAGAGAGGACUGUGUUAGGUAGAGACUGGAGGAGAGGACCAGAGAGGACUGUGUUAGGUAGAGA